rnacentral:rRNA from 1 species
AUUGAACGCUGGCGGCAUGCCUUACACAUGCAAGUCGAACGGCAGCACGGGAGCAAUCCUGGUGGCGAGUGGCGAACGGGUGAGGAAAGUACCGGAACGUGCCCAGUCGUGGGGGAUCACGUAGCGAAAGUUACGCUAAUACCGCAUACGAUCCAUGGAUGAAAGCGGGGGAUCGCAAGACCUCGCGCGAUUGGAGCGGCCGAUAUCCGAUUAGGUAGCUGGUGGGGUAAAGGCUCACCAAGCCGACGGUCUGUAGAUGGUCUGAGAGGACGACCAGCCACACUAGGACUGAGACACGGCCCAGACUCCUACGGGAGGCAUCAGUUGGUAAUUUUUGACAAUGGGCGAAAGCCUGAUCCAGCCAUGCCGCGUGCAGGAUGAAGGCCUUCGGGUUGUAAACUGCUUUUGUACGGAACGAAAAGGUUUGGCCUAAUAAGCUGAGCUCAUGACGUUACCGUAAGAAUAAGCACCGGCUAACUACGUGCCAGCCGCCGCCGUAA